rnacentral:lncRNA from 1 species
CUAUAUAUGAUAAAUAUACAAACGAAAUAUGUAACGUUUCGCUAGAUUCAAUUGCACCUCCACAAGUUUGUCCUAAAACUAAUAAAAAAAAAAAAAAGAACAUUUGUGUGAAAGCAUGUGCCUAAAGACACGAAUGUGUAAUAUGUACAUACUUGUAUAAAUGUAUGCAUAUGGGCUUGUGGAGCACAUUUUUUUUUUUUUUUUUUUUUUUUUUUUUUUUUUUUUUGCUUCUUUUGUUUUACGCAGUUUUUAUACUAUCUGGAUAAUCCGAUAAACGUGAAGAACACAUUCAAUGCUUGUAUGUCUAUGGCAUUGGACGAAAUAAUUCAAGAAAUAGAAAAAAAAAAAAACUUAGAUGAAUUUGAUGAAAAACAAAAAAAUACUUUAUUAAUUAUUAAAGAAAAAGCAAAUAAAAAGUAUUUUUCCUCUAUACGAAAAAUGGAAAAAAUAUUAUCGAAGUUUUUAAAUGAAAAUAAGAAAAUGUCCUUCGAUUUUUUCUUAAGGGGAUGUGAAAGUUAUGGACAUGUACUAAUGAAAUGCAAAGAAAAAUUAUUUGUAACGUUUAACAAAACAUACGGCUUACAUUUUAAAAACUUCGAAGAUUUUUGGCUUUAUGAAGAAGAGAAAAGGAAAGAAAAAUGGAAAGAGCUAUGGAUAUUAAAUGAAAACGAAAAAAAAAAUGUGUCAGUUCAUAAAAACGCGGAUGACAUAAAUAUUAUACCGAAUAAUUAUUACAAUGAAAAUAAUAACAAUAACGAUAAUAAUAUUAGCAACUGUAAUAACAAUAGUGACCUUAUCAAUAAUAACACAAAUAACAUUUUUAAUAAAAACACAAAUGAAGACGAUAUACACGACAAAAAAAACUUUCGCAUAAGACUUUCAUCGCAGUUAGUUGAAAACGAACACAACAAUAACUACAUUGAAAACGAAAAUGUACGUGUUAAUAAUGAAAAUAAUAUGGAAAUAAAUAAUAACACUAAUCUGUGUCAAGAUGAAAAAGAAAGUGAUAAAAAAACGCAUGUCUAUAAAGAAUGCAGGGAUGGCACUAAUACUUAAAAUAGUAGUAUCAAAAUAUUUGCACAUAUACAUAUAUACAUAUAUAUAUAUACAAUUUUUAAUUUUAUAUUUUUUUUUUUUUAAUUUUUUAUUUUUUUUAAUUUUUAUAUAUAUUGCAAAAUGCUUUACAAAAAUACAUAUUUUCAUCAGCUACAUUUUUUUAAAAACUGUAAUGGAGCUACUUUAAAGCUACACAUGCGCUACAUAUAUAUACACGUA